rnacentral:lncRNA from 1 species
GUAUUCUGCACGGACUGCUGGGCAGCACUAGCACUCUGGAGAAGGUCUGCCGCUGUCUGCACUUUCCUGGUGAGAAUCCCCAAUGACAGUCCCACUUUUCAGUGGAGGAGAACAAAAUAUCUGUCUACUCUCUUGAAGAAGGACACGGCUUUGAUCAUAUUUGUUCAGGCUUGACUUGGCCGGAGGUUUUAGGUUCUUAGUCUCAAGUCAGCAGUCUCUCUCUCUCUCUCUCUCUCUCUCUCUCUCUCUCUCUCUGAAACACACACACACAGAGACGCACACACACACAAGCACACACAUACACAAGCGCAAAUCCUCUCUUUCUCUUUCUCUCAUUUCCCGUCAUAGGUUCUAUGCAGGCAGAUGAGUGUCACAGCUGUAACUGAGGCACAGAGCAGUACACACAGUGGAGCCGAUUUCCGCGAUGGCGAGAGGGGGCACCGGAGGUGACAACAAUAACAAGACUGUCCUUCGGACAAGUUUUAGAUUCUCAGGAUGAUGGAGUGAGUGAUGGAAUAGGUUGCCAACUGUAGUUACUCCACUCAGCACAGAAUGGCUGCGGGGAAAUAUAAUCAGACAUGCCCAAAGAAGUCUGCUUAGGGUGAAACAAAUACCUUUGAGGUUUAAAUCAGAAAGGAAGGAGAGACUGUUUCUACAGGUGUCAUACAAAAAUCAAUACUGAGCCAAGGAUUAUUGGAUCCCAUAGAACCACGGAGACUUGGUAGUGAAAUUCUUCCAAAGGCAGAUGGUGUUCCUAGGUUUGGAAAUAUAAAUCCCAUGGGAAGUCAGCUGAAGACCAUUUUAUGCAUCACUCAUCCUGUUAGAGCCCUGUGCUGUUCUGUCUCUCUAUAAGACUGGCUGAAACCACCACGGUUGUUUACAAUUUAUGCUCUAACUUUGGAUCACCUAGUUAAUACUCUAACUCCGAUUAUUACCAAAGACAAUGUUCUAUAAAAGAUAUUGUCUAUUAGAAGGAUGCUUCUGCAUUAUUAAUAAAAUCACAGGGAAAAUGCAACAUUUUGGAUGUCACAUCUGAUAAGUUGGCAGUUAAAGAACAGAAACAGCAAUAAGACUGCGUGGCUACAUUUUCCCAGUGCCACCAACUGGGAUUUAAGCUGACUAACAUUUUGAAAGCCCAGCCCAUUUCAUUCACAGCAGGAUGGCAGUGGGUGACUGAUCGUACCCGCCAGCUGGCUAAUGUCAUAAUUAACAAAGUUGCUACUACAUCUGCAAAGUUUAAUCGAAAAAUUUGCCAGUGAUAUGAUGGCCUUGUCACAGAGAUCACAAGGGACACGGAGUUGACUUUUGCUCAAGGUGGAACGACAGAGCUGUGUAGGCAAGAUGAGAAAUUGCGAACUUGUUCGGCCAAAGGAGGCUAAUAAUGAAGGGGCCGGGAAGGAGGCCAGUGCUACCAGGGUUAUCUCACAACCUCAGAUGCUGGAUAAGUCGACGGAGGCAGAAUCGCUUUGGGAUGACAUUCAGAAAGCCUGGAGUGAUUACUUGCAAGAGAAAAGCCUACCUAUUCUUUCCAAGGUGCAGGAAUAUUCCCCUGACCUGCUCAUCCAGUGGUCCAGUAAUGAAUUACUGGAGACCUGCCUUAGACAAAGAAUGCACUCGGAGCCCCAACACACCUAAAGCCAUGCUUUGAAGGAUCUGCCAAGCUCACUUUUAAUCAUGAGAAAGAAAUUACCCACACGGAGUCAGCAGAAAAUGAGAAAGUAGAGCUCGUGCUGUGAAUAAUUCCAGCAAGUGCCAAGGGGCUAGUUGAGGAAUGGCUUCAUGAGAACAUGCUCUAGGGGAACUAUUAAUAGCCCACCAGUCGGGUAGGCAGCAUUCAAUCCUUCUAUGCCUUCUUUCGCCACCUGUUGAGGUCUUUCUUCUGAAACAAAGAAGAAAUAGACAAAUCAGACUUGCCCUCUUGGAAAUGUGGUCCAGAUUUCUCUACUCCCAAGCUCCAAAAAAGGUAUACAUUGGAUGGGCUAGAUCAACUCCUCCUGAGAGCCAUAAAUCCGCCAAGAGUUGUUUUCCAUGUAAGGGUGUGGUACAAUGGGGAACACCUGAUGUUGGAGGAAAGCAGGAGGACUUUAGAGUGGAGUUGCAUUCUAAUCUCUCUGCCGCUUCAACUAUGUGACCUGGGGCAAAUGAUAUAAACUCUAUGAGCCUCUUUCCUUAUCUUUAAAAUGAAGAGAAGUAAUACCUACCUUGUAGGGCUGUUGUGAGGAUUAAAUGAAGUAAUGCAUACAGUGCCUAACAAAGUAUUUAACAUCAUAUUUUUUAAAAGCUCAUGAAAUAUUAGUUUUUCUUCCUUCCCCUCUUUCUAUUUUCUCUCCUGUUCCCUUUUCUCUCCCUCCUCUGCCCUCUCCUUCCUUCAGAUGUUAGUCUAAAACAGCACCUUGGAUCUAAGCAGCACCUUUGAGAAAGAAAAGACUGCUUCAAGAAUGUCUAGUUGCACCUCCUUUCCGUAUGUGGCCUAAAUGCCUAGGUUGGAUCAAUAGUUUAAUUUUUUUAUUGAACUGUUUAAUAUUGACUAUGGACUUACAUUCACUUUUACUGUUUUCUGUAUAUUUACUUUUGCUUGAAGUGUUUUAAUAUUGACUAUUUACCUCUGCUCAUUUUUAUUGAUUUUCUGUAUUUUUUCAAUGAAAAUUAUAAUAAAAAUUAUUUUUGUUA